rnacentral:lncRNA from 7 species
AUGCUGUUCUUGCUGGCUCCUGCAUAGUGACUGGUAGGAUGCAGUGAUCUGCUGUGCUGAAAGCAAGCGAAGCAUGCAUCACAGUGCAGUGGAAGUCUUGGAGAUCUUCAGUGUCAUAGGCUCCUGAAAAGAGUUAAAGGUCCUCUACCUUGGGAGCUGAACUGCAACGUAGAUGGAAGAGGCCAGGUACAGUCUUAUUGACCUUUAGGAAAGGAAACAUCUUGUUCAAGUCCAACCACUUUGUUUGUAUGUUCUGCAACUGCACAGCUUGGACAAUACCACCAGUUUAAAGUCCCUGUGUCCCAGCAGAUCUUGCUAUCAGCUUUCUGGAUACUGGCAGAAAAAGCCCAGAUCUCUUUAGCACCGGAGAUAGGAAGUGGUGUUACCCACAAGACAGAGGAACUGAGAUUACCAUGCUGUUCUAUAAACCCUUUCAUGAAAUUCUGCAAAGGAGUAGUCUCUCUCUCAGGACAUCAGUACAUCUUCAUUGCGCUGAAAGUUCAUAAAGACUGGGUUGGGAUGUAAAACUGUGCCUCACAGAUAUGAGACUGCUUUGCAGACUUGCAGUUCUGCCCAACCCCAUCCUCAUCUUUUGCUUUUGAUUCUUUGAGUCUAAGAGACCAGGAAAAAAUGGCAUGUUAAGAUUUUGAAGUUCAGUAGGUUGUAAAAUCAUAGGUUCUUGUUGUUUAGUUGUUGUUUUCUUCUGAAAUGUUGUAAUUUUAAUAUACUUUGGCAAAUCUAUUUCAAAACUUCCUGCAAACCUUUUAAAAUGUGAUGAGUACUGUUUGAGUUCUCUGGGGAAUGGCUAGGUGUCUAAAUGGGGGAAAAAAAAAAAACACCAAAGUGCUAGACUGAAUGUAGCAUACAUUCAGCAGAGUUGAUUUAUUUUAAAUGAGAUCAGUUGUGCUUGAGCUAAGUCUACUAUAUGUAGAUCACAUGUUAAUUGCUUGUAUUUAGCAAAAUGCAAAGUCAGCUUAGGGUGUGCAUCCCAGUGUCUUAAGGGACAGAAGAGAGGACAUAUUGCUGAAACCAGCAGGUAUGUGUUAAGAAUCUAGUGCACAUUUCUUUAUGGGAGAUAUCCACCAACUUAAUGAGACUUCUGUUGUUUAACAUGUUUGCUUUUUGUCUUCAGCAUAGGUAAUAAGAGUGUGAGGGUCUGUCCUUGCUUAGCAUUCACUUUGCAAUUCCUUGAGAAGCAUUUGCAAUGUUUUGAUAGACUCUGAUAGUCACUUUGGCUGAUAAACUCAACUAAAAAGAUGUUAUCAAAAUAAAAGUAAAAAAAAAAAUUCUGCAAUCAUAAAUCUUCAUGGUGAUAUAUUUUAAAUGAAAAUUGGGGAAGAAGGGAUAAUUCUGAAGCAAUUUGAGAGCUUCAGAGUAACAAAAUAUUUAGUUCUUGGUUUCUAAAUUCUCCUUUUUCAGUUUUGCCAGUGUAAUAACAGGUUUUUAUACAAGGAGAGAAACUGCUGGCGUUGAAGACAUGGCACCCUAGUGAAAGCACAAAUAAAAUUCAGUUGCUCCCCUUUGGAGAGAGAGUGAACCAUUGAAAUAUUUUAGUUUGUACUAUGGGAUUUGAUGCCUUGUGAUGUCUGAAUCUUCACACUGAAAAAGAAAUAAAAAUAUAUAUUUUUAUUGGCCAUUCACACCAUCUGAGAAGCAGUAAACCUGGACAUUAGACAGAUCUAUCGGACUGGCUGAAGCCAAGAGAAAGUUGCUGGUCACCACUGAAGAGCCUGUUAAGGUGCAGAUGUUUAUGGAAGGAUUAGCAGCAUUUCAGCAAUAACUACUGAGGAAGCAAAUGCUUAACAUAUCCAAGAUGGAAAUUUACUACAUUUCUACAGCACUAUUCAAUGGCAUCUUGCAUUUCAUGACAUGGCUGUAAAAAGUACAACACGGCCCCGGCACUGCUGCAUGAAAGGGCAGAUGUGAAUUUCUGGCAGAGCACACUGCCUUCAACUGUGUUCCAUGCUGCUCUUCUGUCUGGAUUGACCACCUGGUGGAAGGGGAUUUAAAGUAUAUUGCUCGCUUGUAUAUCCUCCAAGAAUAAGUAGAAAGGAGAGAUUUAUUCAGAGGUGCUCAAGUACUGGCAAGAUGAUAACGAUUUUCUUUAUUCUGUGUUCUGCAGUUCCCUUCAAUGGUCAAAAAGGCACAAAAAGCAGUUCAAGGACUUAAAAGGUUGUCAACAAAUGAGUUUUUGGUACUUGUCUUAAAUGACACUGAUCUUGGUGUCUUAAAGAAGAAAAUCAACCCUGUUACUUCUCUCCAAUAAAAGGAAGAAUGU